rnacentral:rRNA from 1 species
ANNGUGUUAGGGUUCGACUCCGGAGAGGGAGCCUGAGAAACGGCUACCACAUCCAAGGAAGGCAGCAGGCGCGCAAAUUACCCAAUCCCGACACGGGGAGGUAGUGACAAUAAAUAACAAUACAGGGUUCUUUUGGAUCUUGUAAUUGGAAUGAGUACAAUUUAAAUCUCUUAACGAGGAACAAUUGGAGGGCAAGUCUGGUGCCAGCAGCCGCGGUAAUUCCAGCUCCAAUAGCGUAUAUUAAAGUUGUUGCAGUUAAAAAGCUCGUAGUUGAAUUUCGGGAUCAAUAUUUCGGUCAUGCCGUUGGUAUGCACUGUUAUCAUUGAUUUCUCACCUUCUAAAGAACCGUAAUGCCAUUAAUUUGGUGUUACGGGGAAUUAGGACUGUUACCUUGAAAAAAUUAGAGUGUUUAAAGCAGGCUCACGCUUGAAUACAUUAGCAUGGAAUAAUGAAAUAGGACAUCCGAUUCUAUUUUGUUGGUUUCUAGGAUCGAUGUAAUGAUUAAUAGGGAUAGUUGGGGGCAUUAGUAUUCAAUUGUCAGAGGUGAAAUUCUUGGAUUUAUUGAAGACUAACUACUGCGAAAGCAUUUGCCAAGGAUGUUUUCAUUAAUCAAGAACGAAAGUUAGGGGAUCGAAGACGAUCAGAUACCGUCGUAGUCUUAACCAUAAACUAUGCCGACUAGGGAUCGGAUGAUGUUAAUUUUUUAAUGACUCAUUCGGCGCCUUACGGGAAACCAAAGUGUUUUGGGUUC